rnacentral:rRNA from 1 species
GAGCGGCGGACGGGUGAGUAACGCGUGGGUGACCUGCCCCAUACCGGGGGAUAACAGCUGGAAACGGCUGCUAAUACCGCAUAAGCGCACAGAGCUGCAUAGCUCAGUGUGAAAAACUCCGGUGGUAUGGGAUGGGCCCGCGUCUGAUUAGGCAGUUGGCGGGGUAACGGCCCACCAAACCGACGAUCAGUAGCCGGCCUGAGAGGGCGACCGGCCAGAUUGGGACUGAGACACGGCCCAGACUCCUACGGGAGGCAGCAGUGGGGAAUCUUGCGCAAUGGGGGGAACCCUGACGCAGCGACGCCGCGUGCGGGACGGAGGCCUUCGGGUCGUAAACCGCUUUCAGCAGGGAAGAGUCAAGACUGUACCUGCAGAAGAAGCCCCGGCUAACUACGUGCCAGCAGCCGCGGUAAUACGUAGGGGGCGAGCGUUAUCCGGAUUCAUUGGGCGUAAAGCGCGCGUAGGCGGCCCGGCAGGCCGGGGGUCGAAGCGGGGGGCUCAACCCCCCGAAGCCCCCGGAACCUCCGCGGCUUGGGUCCGGUAGGGGAGGGUGGAACACCCGGUGUAGCGGUGGAAUGCGCAGAUAUCGGGUGGAACACCGGUGGCGAAGGCGGCCCUCUGGGCCGAGACCGACGCUGAGGCGCGAAAGCUGGGGGAGCGAACAGGAUUAGAUACCCUGGUAGUCCCAGCCGUAAACGAUGGACGCUAGGUGUGGGGGGACGAUCCCCCCGUGCCGCAGCCAACGCAUUAAGCGUCCCGCCUGGGGAGUACGGCCGCAAGGCUAAAACUCAAAGGAAUUGACGGGGGCCCGCACAAGCAGCGGAGCAUGUGGCUUAAUUCGAAGCAACGCGAAGAACCUUACCAAGUCUUGACAUCCUUCUGACCGGUACUUAAUCGUACCUUCUCUUCGGAGCAGGAGUGACAGGUGGUGCAUGGUUGUCGUCAGCUCGUGUCGUGAGAUGUUGGGUUAAGUCCCGCAACGAGCGCAACCCUUAUCUUUAGUAGCCAGCGGUCCGGCCGGGCACUCUAGAGAGACUGCCAGGGAUAACCUGGAGGAAGGCGGGGAUGACGUCAAAUCAUCAUGCCCCUUAUGACUUGGGCUACACACGUGCUACAAUGGCGUAAACAAAGGGAAGCAAAGCUGUGAAGCCGAGCAAAUCUCAAAAAUAACGUCUCAGUUCGGACUGUAGUCUGCAACCCGACUACACGAAGCUGGAAUCGCUAGUAAUCGCAGAUCAGAAUGCUGCGGUGAAUACGUUCCCGGGUCUUGCACACACCGCCCGUCA